ensembl:snRNA U6 U6 spliceosomal RNA
GUGCUUUCGAGGGCAGCACAUACACUAAAAUUGGCACAGUACAGAAGAUAAGCAUAGUGUCUGCCCAUGGAUGACACGCAAAUUCACAAAGUGUUCCAUAUUAAA